UCUAUUUAUGGUCAGUCCAGGAGGCUGGACAAUUCUUUCCUUUUUAAAAAACAAAGAGAGUUCUUACUUCAGAGUCAAAUUUAAAUGGCUGCAUUACUAAUUACAAGCUAAAAGUCAUAUAGGGGUUCUUGUAGGAAGCCAGCAAAGAAGGUUGCAAAUGGUGAUCACAUGGCCAAGGGAUGCUGCAACGUUGCAAUUGCAAACUGGGCACUGAGCGCCUGGAUUGUGAUCACAUGACCACAGAGACGACAUGAUGGCCGUGUGGUGUUCAGAACUGGACACAAUACUUGAGGUGGAGUCUGACCAAAGUUGAACAGAAUGGAACAAUUUCCAUGAUUUCAAAGGAAAUCCAGAACCAAAGAGAGAAUUGCAUAUUUUCCCUAUUGAAAUAGCCUGAGACAAGAUGAGACAUGUACAUCUCAAGAGAACAAAGUGCAGGUUCCAAAUAUUACAAGAUUUGCAUGGCUACAACUCACCUGUUUCUUUGUCCAAUACUUCUUUGAUAACUGAAGAUCAAGGGUUGGCAACCUCUGACUCUAGGACUACUGCAACACUCAAAGAUCAGGAUGGCCCCAACCCUGCUGGCCUUUUGUAAGGCCAUAAAGACCUGGUUCUGUAUCCAGGCCUGGGGCACCAACUGUUGCAUGGACUGCCUUCUUGCUUGUGUUAGUUAUUUGGGUUGUUUCUCAGCUGCCUGUAUUUUAACUGUUAUAAUGUUUGCUAUUGUUUUUACUGUUUUAAUUCUGUUCGCCACCCAGAGUCAUUUAUUGAGAUGGGUAGCUGUAUUGGGUGAAUAAAUAAAUAAAUAAAUAAAAUAAACUCCUUUUUU